rnacentral:rRNA from 1 species
UCUAGAAGAUAAAAGGUAAUACUUCUUAAGGAAACCUUCAUUAAAUGGCGGCCUACUUUCUUCUUAGAGGAACUCGUCUCAUAAUCGAUAAUCCUCGUUAUUUUUAACUUUUCCUUUUAUCUCUUAUACCGCCGUCUCAAGACUCAAAUUUCUUUUUCAAAAAAAAACUCUUUUAUCAAGUCAGGUAAAGGUGAGGAAAAUGGGAAAGAGAAGAUAAGUUACUUAUAAACAUUAAUUUAGGAUAUAUCAUUAAAAUUUUUUACGAAUCAGGAUUUAAAAGUAAUUUCUCAUUAAUAUUUUAGCAUGAACUAGUAAAAUUAGGUGC